GUACACACCGCCCGUCAAGCCACCCAAGCAGGGCGCACCCGAAAUCGCUGACCCAACCCACAGGAGGGAGGCGCUGAAGGUGAGUUCUGUGAGGGGGACUAAGUCGUAACAAGGUAGCCGUAGGUGAACCUGCAGAAGGAUCA
rnacentral:rRNA from 1 species